rnacentral:rRNA from 1 species
AGAGCGAACGCUGGCGGCAUGCUUAACACAUGCAAGUCGCACGGGCAGGGGAAACCCUGUCAGUGGCGGACGGGUGAGUAACGCGUAGGAAUCUAUCUCUGGGUGGGGGACAACCGUGGGAAACUACGGCUAAUACCGCAUGACACCUGAGGGUCAAAGGCGCAAGUCGCCUGGAGAGGAGCCUGCGUACGAUUAGCUUGUUGGUGGGGUAAAGGCCUACCAAGGCGACGAUCGUUAGCUGGUCUGAGAGGAUGAUCAGCCACAUUGGGACUGAGACACGGCCCAAACUCCUACGGGAGGCAGCAGUGGGGAAUAUUGGACAAUGGGCGAAAGCCUGAUCCAGCAAUGCCGCGUGGGUGAAGAAGGUCUUCGGAUUGUAAAGCCCUUUCGACGGGACGAUGAUGACGGUACCCGUAGAAGAAGCCCGGCUAACUUCGCGCCAGCAGCCGC